GGAUGUGAGGGAGAUCUGGCUGCAAUAUCUCCCACCCCAUUGAUCGCCAGGGUUGAUUCGGUUGAUCUGGGUAGCUAGGUGGGUGUCCCCUGCCUCCCUCACUGCUCCAUGUGGGUCCCUCCUGAAGCUGUGCACUUGGUCGAAGAGGACGACCUUCCCCGAUAGAGGAGGACCACUCUACAGUCAAGGGUAUACGAGUAGCUGCACUCCCCUGCGAGAACUUCCAAAGAAGCUCUGUCAGAGUUCUGGGACUUAGAAAGUGUAAGAGGUUAAGGAGAUGAGGAGAAACUGUCU
rnacentral:snRNA from 1 species